GACAGAGGAUGCAAGCGUUAUCCGGAAUGAUUGGGCGUAAAGCGCGCGCAGGCGGUCCUUUAAGUCUGAUGUGAAAGCCCACGGCUCAACCGUGGAAGGUCAUUGGAAACUGGAGGACUUGAGUACAGAAGAGGAAAGCGGAAUUCCACGUGUAGCGGUGAAAUGCGUAGAGAUGUGGAGGAACACCAGUGGCGAAGGCGACUUUCUGGCCUAUAACUGACGCUGAGGCGCGAAAGCGUGAGGAGCGAACAGG
rnacentral:rRNA from 1 species